rnacentral:rRNA from 1 species
GCAAGUCGAACGGAGUAGCAAUACUUAGUGGCAGACGGGUGAGUAACAUGUGGGUAUCUUCCCUUUGGUGAGGAAUAACACGAGGAAACUUGUGCUAAUACCUCAUAAGUCUUUACGGAGAAAGCUUUAUGCGCCAAUGGAUGAGCCCGCACUUGAUUAGUUUGUUGGUGGGGUAAUGGCCUACCAAGACUGUGAUCAAUAGCUGAUCUGAGAGGAUGAUCAGCCACAUUGGGACUGAGACACGGCCCAAACUCCUACGGGAGGCAGCAGUAGGGAAUAUUGCACAAUGGAGGAAACUCUGAUGCAGCGAUGCCGCGUGAGUGAAGAAGGCCCUUGGGUUGUAAAGCUCUUUCGUCGGGGAAGAAAAUGACUGUACCCGAAUAAGAAGGUCCGGCUAACUUCGUGCCAGCAGCCGCGGUAAUACGAAGGGACCUAGCGUAGUUCGGAAUUACUGGGCUUAAAGAGUUCGUAGGUGGUUAAAAAAGUUGGUGGUGAAAUCCCAGAGCUUAACUCUGGAACUGCCAUCAAAACUUUUUAGCUAGAGUAUGACAGAGGAAAGCAGAAUUUCUAGUGUAGAGGUGAAAUUCGUAGAUAUUAGAAAGAAUACCAAUUGCGAAGGCAGCUUUCUGGGUCAUUACUGACACUGAGGAACGAAAGCAUGGGUAGCGAAGAGGAUUAGAUACCCUCGUAGUCCAUGCCGUAAACGAUGUGUGUUAGACGUUGGAAAUUUAUUUUCAGUGUCGCAGCGAAAGCAGUAAACACACCGCCUGGGGAGUACGACCGCAAGGUUAAAACUCAAAUGAAUUGACGGGGACCCGCACAAGUAGUGGAGCAUGUGGUUUAAUUCGAAGAUACGCGCAGAACCUUACCAACACUUGACAUGUUCGUCGCGACUUUAAGAGAUUAA